CCAGACUCCUACGGGAGGCAGCAGUGGGGAAUAUUGCACAAUGGGGGAAACCCUGAUGCAGCGACGCCGCGUGAGUGAAGAAGUAUUUCGGUAUGUAAAGCUCUAUCAGCAGGGAAGAAAAUGACGGUACCUGACUAAGAAGCCCCGGCUAACUACGUGCCAGCAGCCGCGGUAAUACGUAGGGGGCAAGCGUUAUCCGGAUUUACUGGGUGUAAAGGGAGCGUAGACGGCAUGGCAAGUCAGAUGUGAAAGCCCGGGGCUCAACCCCGGGACUGCAUUUGAAACUGUCAGGCUGGAGUGCAGGAGAGGUAAGUGGAAUUCCUAGUGUAGCGGUGAAAUGCGUAGAUAUUAGGAGGAACACCAGUGGCGAAGGCGGCCUGCUGGACGACAACUGACGGUGAGGCGCGAAAGCGUGGGGAGCAAACAGGAUUAGAUACCCGAGUA
rnacentral:rRNA from 1 species